rnacentral:tRNA from 1 species
UUUUCAUUAAAAUAUAUUAAUUAAUUAAUAAAUAAAUA